rnacentral:rRNA from 1 species
GGCCAGACUCCUACGGGAGGCAGCAGUGGGGAAUAUUGCACAAUGGGGGAAACCCUGAUGCAGCGACGCCGCGUGAGUGAAGAAGUAUUUCGGUAUGUAAAGCUCUAUCAGCAGGGAAGAAAAUGACGGUACCUGACUAAGAAGCCCCGGCUAACUACGUGCCAGCAGCCGCGGUAAUACGUAGGGGGCAAGCGUUAUCCGGAUUUACUGGGUGUAAAGGGAGCGUAGACGGCAUGGCAAGUCAGAUGUGAAAGCCCGGGGCUCAACCCCGGGACUGCAUUUGAAACUGUCAGGCUGGAGUGCAGGAGAGGUAAGUGGAAUUCCUAGUGUAGCGGUGAAAUGCGUAGAUAUUAGGAGGAACACCAGUGGCGAAGGCGGCUUACUGGACUGUAACUGACGUUGAGGCUCGAAAGCGUGGGGAGCAAACAGGAUUAGAUACCCGUGUAGC